rnacentral:tRNA from 1 species
GGAAGGGUGCUGGAGCGGCUGAUCAGGCGCGCCUGGAGAGCGCGUAGGCGGGUAACCCUGCCUCGUGGGUUCAAAUCCCACCCCUUCCGCCA